UCGGUACACUUGUGAUUGACCUC
rnacentral:miRNA from 1 species